AUUGAACGCUGGCGGCAUGCCUUACACAUGCAAGUCGAACGGCAGCACGGGGGGUAACCCCUGGUGGCGAGUGGCGAACGGGUGAGUAAUAUAUCGGAACGUGUCCUGUAGCGGGGGAUAACCUAUCGAAAGAUGGACUAAUACCGCAUACGACCUACGGGUGAAAGCGGAGGAACGCAAGGCUUCGCACUAUAGGAGCGGCCGAUAUCGGAUUAGCUAGUUGGCGGGGUAACGGCCCACCAAGGCGACGAUCCGUAGCUGGUCUGAGAGGACGAUCAGCCACACUGGAACUGAGACACGGUCCAGACUCCUACGGGAGGCAGCAGUGGGGAAUUUUGGACAAUGGGCGCAAGCCUGAUCCAGCCAUGCCGCGUGAGUGAAGAAGGCCUUCGGGUUGUAAAGCUCUUUCGGCGGGGACGAAACGGUUCGUGCUAAUACCACGGACUACUGACGGUACCCGCAGAAGAAGCACCGGCUAACUACGUG
rnacentral:rRNA from 1 species